UACGAAGGGUGCAAGCGUUACUCGGAAUUACUGGGCGUAAAGCGUGCGUAGGUGGUUUGUUAAGUCUGUUGUGAAAGCCCCGGGCUCAACCUGGGAAUGGCAAUGGAUACUGGCAGGCUAGAGUGCGGUAGAGGGUAGUGGAAUUCCCGGUGUAGCGGUGAAAUGCGUAGAGAUCGGGAGGAACACCAGUGGCGAAAGCGGCUCACUGGACCAUAACUGACGCUGAUGCACGAAAGCUAGGGGAGCAAACAGG
rnacentral:rRNA from 1 species